GAAAGAUGAAAAGAACUUUGAAAAGAGAGUUAAAUAGUACGUGAAAUUGUUGAAAGGGAAACGAUUGAAGCCAGUCGUACAUAUUAUGGGUAAUCAGCCUUUUGGGUGUGAUUUUGUGGAGCGUGAGGAGUUAAACGCCUUCAUGCCUGCAUAUUCGUGCACUUUGGGUGUACUUGCCCGUGUGUAAGUUAACAUCAAUUUUGGUGGUCAUAAAAUGGCUGGAGGAAUGUAGCUUCGAUCUCGUAUUGAAGUGUUAUA
rnacentral:rRNA from 1 species